rnacentral:rRNA from 2 species
CGAACGCUGGCGGCGUGCCUAAUACAUGCAAGUCGAACGAACUCUGGUAUUGAUUGGUGCUUGCAUCAUGAUUUACAUUUGAGUGAGUGGCGAACUGGUGAGUAACAUGUGGGAAACCUGCCCAGAAGCGGGGGAUAACACCUGGAAACAGAUGCUAAUACCGCAUAACAACUUGGACCGCAUGGUCCGAGUUUGAAAGAUGGCUUCGGCUAUCACUUUUGGAUGGUCCCGCGGCGUAUUAGCUAGAUGGUGGGGUAACGGUUCACCAUGGCAAUGAUACGUAGCCGACCUGAGAGGGUAAUCGGCCACAUUGGGACUGAGACACGGCCCAAACUCCUACGGGAGGCAGCAGUAGGGAAUCUUCCACAAUGGACGAAAGUCUGAUGGAGCAACGCCGCGUGAGUGAAGAAGGGUUUCGGCUCGUAAAACUCUGUUGUUAAAGAAGAACAUAUCUGAGAGUAACUGUUCAGGUAUUGACGGUAUUUAACCAGAAAGCCACGGCUAACUACGUGCCAGCAGCCGCGGUAAUACGUAGGUGGCAAGCGUUGUCCGGAUUUAUUGGGCGUAAAGCGAGCGCAGGCGGUUUUUUAAGUCUGAUGUGAAAGCCUUCGGCUCAACCGAAGAAGUGCAUCGGAAACUGGGAAACUUGAGUGCAGAAGAGGACAGUGGAACUCCAUGUGUAGCGGUGAAAUGCGUAGAUAUAUGGAAGAACACCAGUGGCGAAGGCGGCUGUCUGGUCUGUAACUGACGCUGAGGCUCGAAAGUAUGGGUAGCAAACAGGAUUAGAUACCCUGGUAGUCCAUACCGUAAACGAUGAAUGCUAAGUGUUGGAGGGUUUCCGCCCUUCAGUGCUGCAGCUAACGCAUUAAGCAUUCCGCCUGGGGAGUACGGCCGCAAGGCUGAAACUCAAAGGAAUUGACGGGGGCCCGCACAAGCGGUGGAGCAUGUGGUUUAAUUCGAAGCUACGCGAAGAACCUUACCAGGUCUUGACAUACUAUGCAAAUCUAAGAGAUUAGACGUUCCCUUCGGGGACAUGGAUACAGGUGGUGCAUGGUUGUCGUCAGCUCGUGUCGUGAGAUGUUGGGUUAAGUCCCGCAACGAGCGCAACCCUUAUUAUCAGUUGCCAGCAUUAAGUUGGGCACUCUGGUGAGACUGCCGGUGACAAGCCGGAGGAAGGUGGGGAUGACGUCAAAUCAUCAUGCCCCUUAUGACCUGGGCUACACACGUGCUACAAUGGAUGGUACAACGAGUUGCGAACUCGCGAGAGUAAGCUAAUCUCUUAAAGCCAUUCUCAGUUCGGAUUGUAGGCUGCAACUCGCCUACAUGAAGUCGGAAUCGCUAGUAAUCGCGGAUCAGCAUGCCGCGGUGAAUACGUUCCCGGGCCUUGUACACACCGCCCGUCACACCAUGAGAGUUUGUAACACCCAAAGUCGGUGGGGUAACCUUUUAGGAACCAGCCGCCUAAGGUGGGACAGAUGAUUAGGGUG